AGCUAAAUUGGACCGAAUUUACCCAAAGCCACAGGAGACGUUUACUUUAAUGGGACAGAGAAUUAAGUGACUGCCGAGAGUUGCCCCUGCUACAAUAUAUGGAAUGGACUGUUUGACAGACGAGUAUUAUCACAAUGGAGAAUGUCACAAGUGCCCACAGUGCCCACCCGGCCAAGAGCUGAAAGAGGACUGUGGUUAUGGUGAAGGUGUGCCGGCUGUGUGUGGCGUCUGCGAUGUUCGGUGGUUUAAAGAAGACUGGGGUUCUCACCCUUGUGGAUUGUGCCAGAACUGCCGCAGACUCAACAGACACCAAAUCAAGCGCUGCACACACACAGACAACGCAGUUUGUGGAAACUGCCUCCCAGGUUUCUACAGCAAAAUGCGGCUGGAUGGAUUAGAAGACCUGGAAUGUCUUCCUUGUGGGCCCGCCCCUUUCCGAAACAUACAGUGUAGCCGGAGGAGAAGUGACUGGUGAGGCAAAAGUCCAGACCUCAGCAGCUCCUUUCACAAAUGCUUCUUCCAUUGUGACUGCUUGUGCAGCAACAGCCAUCUUAACAACAUUCCUGUUUGCCAUAGUGUGCGUCACCUACCAGACUCGAGCUUCACUCAGGAAGAAGUGCACAAGUUGCUUAUCAUCGGUCAGUGACGGUCAUUAUGACAGUAAUGCUGCAUCAGUUCCAAUGUCAACUCUACACACAGUGACGCAGGAUGCAGAAGCGAACAGAUCAAAUCCUCGCCUGCCGUUAGAUGACAUCACCACUCUGCUGACCUCA
ensembl:processed_transcript si:dkey-204l11.1 si:dkey-204l11.1